rnacentral:rRNA from 1 species
GCGAAACGGGAGGAUAGCCAUGCAGUCAUGCGCUCUCUGGCUAUGGUAGAGAGUGCGGCAGACGGCUCAAUAACAUGUAGCUAACCUGCCCUUAGGAUGGAGAUAACCUCUGGGAAACUGAGGCUAAUACCCAAUAGACGGUAGAAUCUGGAAUGUUCAUCCGUUAAAAGGAUUUUAGAAACAUGCUUCUAGUAUUGCCUAAGGAUGGGGCUGCAACCGAUCAGGUUGUUGGUAGGGUAACGGCCUACCAAGCCUACAACCGGUACGGGCCCUGAGAGGGGGAGCCCGGAGAUGGGAACUGAGACAAGGUCCCAGGCCCUACGGGGCGCAGCAGGCGCGAAACCUCCACAAUGCACGAAUGUGUGAUGGGGUUAUCCUGAGUGCUAUCCGCUGAGGAUGGCUUUUCUUCAGUGUAUGUAGCUGUAGGAAUAAGAGGGGGGCAAGACUGGUGUCAGCCGCCGCGGUAAUACCAGCUCUCCGAGUGGUAGGGAUGAAUAUUGGGCUUAAAGCGUCCGUAGCCGGCUUAACAAGUCUCCUGUUAAACUCAGCGACUUAAUCGUUGAAUCGCGGGAGAUACUAUUAGGCUAGGAGGCGGGAGAGGUCGACGGUACUUCUGGGGUAGGGGUGAAAUCCUAUAAUCCCGGGAGGACCACCAGUGGCGAAGGCUGUCGACUAGAACGCGCUCGACGGUGAGGGACGAAAGCUGGGGGAGCGAACCGGAUUAGAUACCCGGGUAGUCCCAGCUGUAAACGAUGCGGGCUAGGUGUUGGAAUGGCUACGUGCCAUUUCAGUGCCGCAGGGAAGCCAUUAAGCCCGCCGCCUGGGGAGUACGGCCGCAAGGCUGAAACUUAAAGGAAUUGGCGGGGGAGCACCACAAGCGUGAAGCUUGCGGUUCAAUUGAGUCAACGCCGG